UGUUAAUUCUAUUGAUCUGGUGCAGG
rnacentral:piRNA from 1 species